UGUUGAAGGCCCUGCAAAGCAGCAUCGCGGUGGCGGAGCGUCGUUUGCGACGCCCAACGCACAAAACAAGCGGUGAGUGCUUUGGGGUGGGGUGACUGCGUACCUUUUGUAUAAUGGGUCAGCGACUUAUAUUCUGUAGCAAGGUUAACCGAAUAGGGGAGCCGGAGGGAAACCGAGUCUUAAUUGGGCGUUAAGUUGCAGGGUAUAGACCCGAAACCCGGUGAUCUAGCCAUGGGCAGGUUGAAGGUUGGGUAACACUAACUGGAGGACCGAACCGACUAAUGUUGAAAAAUUAGCGGAUGACCUGUGGCUGGGGGUGAAAGGCCAAUCAAACCGGGAGAUAGCUGGUUCUCCCCGAAAGCU
rnacentral:rRNA from 1 species